rnacentral:pre_miRNA from 1 species
UGGGGUUGUCCUAAGUCAAACUAUUUCAACUUUGACCAGGUUUGUAGAAAAAUACCAAGAUAUCCAACACUAAACAAAUGCAAUAUGAAAAUAUAUUUGAUAGUAGUCCUAAUGAUACUAGUUUGGUGUUGAAUAAGUUGGUGUUUUUUUCUACAAACCCGAUCAAAAUUGACAAAGUUUGACUUAUGACAGACAGAC